UACGUAGGGGGCUAGCGUUGUCCGGAAUCAUUGGGCGUAAAGAGCGUGUAGGCGGUCCGGUAAGUCCGCUGUGAAAGUCGGGGGCUCAACCCUCGAAUGCCGGUGGAUACUGUCGGGCUAGAGUGCGGAAGAGGCGAGUGGAAUUCCUGGUGUAGCGGUGAAAUGCGCAGAUAUCAGGAGGAACACCUAUUGCGAAGGCAGCUCGCUGGGACGUAACUGACGCUGAGACGCGAAAGCGUGGGGGGAGCAAACAGG
rnacentral:rRNA from 1 species